AACGAACGCUGGCGGCAUGCCUAACACAUGCAAGUCGAACGAGACCUUCGGGUCUAGUUGCGCACGGGUGCGUAACGCGUGGGGACCUGCCCUUAGGUUCGGAAUAACUCCCUGAAAGGGGUGCUAAUACCGGUUAAUGUCUUCGGACCAACGAUCUAUGGCCUUUGGAUGGGCCCGGGUUGGAUUAGCCAGUUGGUAGGGUAAAAGCCUACCAACGCGACGAUCCAUAGCUGGUCUGAGAGGAUGAUCAGCCACACUGGGACUGAGACCCGGCCCAGACUCCUACGGGAGGCAGCAGUGGGGAAUAUUGGACAAUGGGCGAAAGCCUGAUCCAGCAAUGCCGCGUGAGUGAUGAAGGCCUUAGGGUUGUAAAGCUCUUUUACCCGGGAUGAUAAUGACAGUACCGGGAGAAUAAGCUCCGGCUAACUCCGUG
rnacentral:rRNA from 1 species